GGCAAUGAUGUUAUUGUCAUGAGAUCAUGACUGGACUGUGUCAUGAGUUAGCAGAUCCUGAUAUGUGUCUUAAAAAAAGGAGUAAUAUCUGUUACAUACUUUUAAGGUUCUUAAAUAGUCAUUACCAUUGUUAUUUCUGAAUAUCAAGGGUCUAAUUGUUCUUUUUAUUGAGGUAAAUAUUAAAAAUCAGGAUUUUUAAUAAAGUUUUACAUGAACACACUUGCUAUUACUCAGAUUCUUCAAAUUCGGGCAUCUGUGGAAAUCAGUUAUUUUAUUUCAUUGCCUGACUUGAGAGCCUUGGAAGUAUUGUGAACUAUCAGAAGGUCAGUUAAAGCUGAUAAGGCCAAAGGUGUACUUUUAAUUAAUGCCAGUUCUCUUUGUAGUAUAUUAGCAAGUUAUACCUUAGCCUUUAAAAAUGAACCCCACUGAUAAAAGAGAACAGAUGUCAGGAGUGUACUUGACCAUGACUACUACAAAAGAAGUUUGAAUCAUGUAUUUAUGAUUUGUGCAUACAAAAUCUAUUUUCCUGUGGAUAUUUUGAGGUGUUUUACAAUAUAAUGGUUUGUAGCACUGCAGAAGAAAACAGUGAUUCUUAAAAGAAGAGUUGAAUGAGCAGGCAUUUAGCGAUAUUUUCCUAGAAUCAUCUAAUUUUAAAAAAUAAUCUUGAGAUUUCCCAUAUUCCCUACUAAUAAACCCUUUCCUUAAUAAAAAUAAAUGCUUGUAAUUAC
rnacentral:lncRNA from 1 species